CAUGAACUGAACUGGGUCUGUCAGAGAGACAAGCAAAAUGAAAAGUGAGGCGAGUCCCCAGAAACUAAGAUUGAAAACCAUUGGUAUAGAGCAAGGGUGUCCAAACCUGUUCAUGUAGGGACACUGGUUGGCAGAGUUUAUAUUCAGCCCUAAUUUAAUACCUAAACCAGCUAAUCAAAGUAUUUAGACUUACUACAAACUUCUAGGUGAGUGUGUGUUGGAGCUGGUUGGAGCUAAAAUCUCUAGAAUGUAGGUCCCCUAGGAGCAGGAUUGGACAACCCUGGUAUAGAACCUCCCAUGCAAGGCAGCAUAUCGUUUUCCAGCCAUUCCUUUGGUGUUCAGUGUCAGUACUUGUUGACGUUUGGCAAUGGAAUUGGGGGAACCAUCUCAUUAUUAUCUUCAGAAUUUUGUGGUUCUACUCCAGUUGGAGUCUUUUGGCUGAUGAUAUGGAGUUUGCAAGCACCACUGGUUUGCAGUACGUCUUUGUUGGUGAUGUGAUUACACUAUCAGAUUUUCAGAUUCGGUGUAGGCUUCUCUGCUGGAAGAUGUUGUGCUUACUGAUACUUGCUGAAGCCUUCUAGAUCUCACAAGAGUAUAUGGCAGUUGGGAUCACUUUGGAGGUGAACAUUCAUAGUUUGAUUUUGAGGGAGAUAGAUGGUGAUCACCAAAAAUUUGUAAUCUUCUGAGAGAUGGCUACCACUUUCCAGAUGCAGCACUUUUGAUUAAUAUGCAGUCAAUGAUCAGUAAACAAAACUGCAUUUUAAUCAAAUAGAUGUUAAAAAUCUGAUUGACUGCCAUUGUGCUGCGCUAUGCUGUAUAGUGUUUUACUUUAUCUUUCAAUGUGGACAUGAGCAACUUUACUUCAGAAACCUAAUGCCCGCUCUGUUUCAUGCUCACUGGUGUCCACACAGCUUUUAUUAUUCACUACCAGAUGUUGUACUUGUAUGGCGUCAUCUGUGUAGACACAAAAAUUGGGUUGCAUUGCAUUGUGUGAAUAUAACAGACUCUCGACACAAUAAAUAUAAUCUUUCAUUGGUCUAAUACUAAAUAAUCCUACCAGGGACAUUAAUGCUUAAUGUUUGAUGUGGGCCAUAAUUUGUACUUGACUAGUUAUUCAAAUGAUUGUUUGCUCAGUCGCAUGACCAAUACCAGCUAUUGCAAUUCCAUAAUUAUUAUUGAUUUGCUCACUGUCUGUCAAUCUCAGGACGUGCAUAGAGAGGAAGAAGGAGAGGUGAUGGACAGAAAUAGGAUUGGACAGCAACCAUGCAGCAUGGAAACCUCAUCUCCAAAAUGAGCUGGGAUGAGAUAGUGCUGCUGGAUAAGGGUAAUUGAUGAUUGUCUUAGCGAGGAUAUGUGAGGGGAGGAAGGAAAAAUAAAUGGGGGAUGCUGGGAAGAGGUAGGGGGGUUGUGUUAUGGUCUGAAAAAAUGAGAAUGAAAAAUUCCUUUGUGGUCGUUCCUCCUCUGGACACUGCUGUGUACUUUAUGUUGGAGGUCAUCUCCAAAAUCUUGAAAAACAAAUAUGCAGGACCUUUGGAUUGAAAUGUCAGUGCACCACAGGCAUUGAUUUCCUCCUCAAGUGUCCGAGGCUACUGGAUAUUCACCAUGCUGAUGUGAGACACCUUUUCCAGACAGCUGCAGAUGAAAACAUAUGGACACACACACCUGAACUGAGCCACAUCAACUGUUAGAAAAUUCUGCACUUUUGUAGCAUUUGAUUUUUCUAAAAAUAAUAGUGGUCACUUACAGUUUUCAGUCAUGGCACUCCGUGGUCAGAUAUUUAUUUACAUUCACUGUCAUCCAUGUGCUUGUUUGCAUAUCUAUUUUAUGUUACUUGUGAUCAGUUUCAAAGUAAACACUACGAACUACAGGAAUAAAGGUGUGGGUGAUGCUCGUGUGGGUUUGAGACCUGUUGUUAGUACUUCUCUCUCCUGACAGAGUGAUUGCAGUUCCCAGGUUCCAUUCAGAACUAAUGGAGCACCAUUCUCUCUGCUCACAAACCCAAUUAAAUCUGGAGAUCUCUCACUGAUAAACUCAAUUCCACCUGGCCACUGGAUCCUUCAUCUCUAAAUAUAUAUUACAUGAAACCUUUCUGAGUAUGGGCAGUGGAGAGGUUUGUUUUUACUGUCUGUUGAUAUAAGUGUGUAUCGAUGUUUUUAGCAUUUGCCUGAGGCGACGUGCUUGGCUGAGUGUCACUGAUAAUUAAGUGUAUUUUUGGUCUUGGACACCUUAUUGGUGUAUUUUGGAAGUGUAUCUGCUGUUUUCUUUUCAGAAGAUUUUUAAAGGGAUCAUACAAUGACAAAGAAAAUGUAUCAUUAAAAAAACAAUACGUGUAAAACUGUUCUGUCAGAUUGUCAAUUCUGUGCCUUUCCUGGCUCUGCAUGUAGCACCUAUAGCUCUGUCUAUCCCUCUGAAUUAACCCAAUGUUUCAAAAUGUAAGAAAUGUAAUGUUUUAUAAAGCAGUGUAAACUAGA